rnacentral:rRNA from 1 species
CAGCUAACGUUUUAAGUUGUCCGCCUGGGGAGUACGGCCGCAAGGCUAAAACUCAAAUGAAUUGACGGGGACCCGCACAAGCAGUGGAUCAUGUGGUUUAAUUCGAUGCAACGCGAAAAACCUUACCUACUCUUGACAUACUUGGAAGCUCUUGUAAUGAGAGUGUGCUUUUAAGAACCAAGAUACAGGUGCUGCAUGGCUGUCGUCAGCUCGUGUCGUGAGAUGUUCCGUUAAGUCGGAUAACGAGCGCAACCCUUACCCUUAUUUGCCAGCGAUUCGGUCGGGAACUAUAAGGGGACUGCCGGUGAUAAACCGGAGGAAGGUGAGGACGACGUCAAGUCAUCAUGGCCCUUACGAGUAGGGCUACACACGUGAUACAAUGGGAGAAACAGACGGACGCUAAGCCGCGAGGUGGUGCUAAUCCUAGAAACUCUCUCGUAGUCCGGAUUGGAGUCUGCAACUCGACUCCAUGAAGUUGGAAUUGCUAGUAAUCGCGGAUCAGCAUGCCGCGGUGAAUACGUUCUCGGGUCUUGUACACACCGCCCGUCACACCAUGGAAGUGGAUUGCACCAGAAGUAGAUAGUCUAACCUUAGGGAGGGCGUUUACCACGGUGUGCUUCAUGACUGGGGUGAAGUCGUAACAAGGUACC